ensembl:lncRNA
AUGAGUGCAAGAGCUGGCAGUGGAGUGAAAGGGUUCGGUUUUGAUGAAGUUGUAGGUGUGAGGAGGCCUUGGCCAGUCACUGGCCAAUCAAGAGCUGGCAGUGGAGUGAAAGGGUUCGGUUUUGAUGAAGUUGUAGGUGUGAGGAGGCCUUGGCCAGUCACUGGCCAAUCAAGAGCUGGCAGUGGAGUGAAAGGGUUCGGUUUUGAUGAAGUUGUAGGUGUGAGGAGGCCUUGGCCAGUCACUGGCCAAUCAAGAGCUGGCAGUGGAGUGAAAGGGUUCGGUUUUGAUGAAGUUGUAGGUGUGAAGAGGCCUUGGCCAGUCACUGGCCAAUCAAGAGCUGGCAGUGGAGUGAAAGGGUUCGGUUUUGAUGAAGUUGUAGGUGUGAGGAGGCCAGUCACUGGCCAAUCAAGAGCUGGCAGUGGAGUGAAAGGGUUCGGUUUUGAUGAAGUUGUAGGUGUGAGGAGGCCAGUCACUGGCCAAUCAAGAGCUGGCAGUGGAGUGAAAGGGUUCGGUUUGGAUGAAGUUGUAGGUGUGAGGAGGCCAGUCACUGGCCAAUCAAGAGCUGGCAGUGGAGUGAAAGGGUUCGGUUUGGAUGAAGUUGUAGGUGUGAGGAGGCCAGUCACUGGCCAAUCAAGAGCUGGCAGUGGAGUGAAAGGGUUCGGUUUUGAUGAAGUUGUAGGUGUGAGGAGGCCAGUCACUGGCCAAUCAAGAGCUGGCAGUGGAGUGAAAGGGUUCGGUUUUGAUGAAGUUGUAGGUGUGAGGAGGCCAGUCACUGGCCAAUCAAGAGCUGGCAGUGGAGUGAAAGGGUUCGGUUUUGAUGAAGUUGUAGGUGUGAGGAGGCCAGUCACUGGCCAAUCAAGAGCUGGCAGUGGAGUGAAAGGGUUCGGUUUUGAUGAAGUUGUAGGUGUGAGGAGGCCAGUCACUGGCCAAUCAAGAGCUGGCAGUGGAGUGAAAGGGUUCGGUUUUGAUGAAGUUGUAGGUGUGAGGAGGCCAGUCACUGGCCAAUCAAGAGCUGGCAGUGGAGUGAAAGGGUUCGGUUUUGAUGAAGUUGUAGGUGUGAGGAGGCCAGUCACUGGCCAAUCAAGAGCUGGCAGUGGAGUGAAAGGGUUCGGUUUUGAUGAAGUUGUAGGUGUGAGGAGGCCAGUCACUGGCCAAUCAAGAGCUGGCAGUGGAGUGAAAGGGUUCGGUUUUGAUGAAGUUGUAGGUGUGAGGAGGCCAGUCACUGGCCAAUCAAGAGCUGGCAGUGGAGUGAAAGGGUUCGGUUUUGAUGAAGUUGUAGGUGUGAGGAGGCCAGUCACUGGCCAAUCAAGAGCUGGCAGUGGAGUGAAAGGGUUCGGUUUUGAUGAAGUUGUAGGUGUGAGGAGGCCAGUCACUGGCCAAUCAAGAGCUGGCAGUGGAGUGAAAGGGUUCGGUUUUGAUGAAGUUGUAGGUGUGAGGAGGCCAGUCACUGGCCAAUCAAGAGCUGGCAGUGGAGUGAAAGGGUUCGGUUUUGAUGAAGUUGUAGGUGUGAGGAGGCCAGUCACUGGCCAAUCAAGAGCUGGCAGUGGAGUGAAAGGGUUCGGUUUUGAUGAAGUUGUAGGUGUGAGGAGGCCAGUCACUGGCCAAUCAAGAGCUGGCAGUGGAGUGAAAGGGUUCGGUUUUGAUGAAGUUGUAGGUGUGAGGAGGCCAGUCACUGGCCAAUCAAGAGCUGGCAGUGGAGUGAAAGGGUUCGGUUUUGAUGAAGUUGUAGGUGUGAGGAGGCCAGUCACUGGCCAAUCAAGAGCUGGCAGUGGAGUGAAAGGGUUCGGUUUUGAUGAAGUUGUAGGUGUGAGGAGGCCAGUCACUGGCCAAUCAAGAGCUGGCAGUGGAGUGAAAGGGUUCGGUUUUGAUGAAGUUGUAGGUGUGAGGAGGCCAGUCACUGGCCAAUCAAGAGCUGGCAGUGGAGUGAAAGGGUUCGGUUUUGAUGAAGUUGUAGGUGUGAGGAGGCCAGUCACUGGCCAAUCAAGAGCUGGCAGUGGAGUGAAAGGGUUCGGUUUUGAUGAAGUUGUAGGUGUGAGGAGGCCAGUCACUGGCCAAUCAAGAGCUGGCAGUGGAGUGAAAGGGUUCGGUUUUGAUGAAGUUGUAGGUGUGAGGAGGCCAGUCACUGGCCAAUCAAGAGCUGGCAGUGGAGUGAAAGGGUUCGGUUUUGAUGAAGUUGUAGGUGUGAGGAGGCCAGUCACUGGCCAAUCAAGAGCUGGCAGUGGAGUGAAAGGGUUCAGUUUUGAUGAAGUUGUAGGUGUGAGGAGGCCAGUCACUGGCCAAUCAAGAGCUGGCAGUGGAGUGAAAGGGUUCGGUUUUGAUGAAGUUGUAGGUGUGAGGAGGCCAGUCACUGGCCAAUCAAGAGCUGGCAGUGGAGUGAAAGGGUUCGGUUUUGAUGAAGUUGUAGGUGUGAGGAGGCCAGUCACUGGCCAAUCAAGAGCUGGCAGUGGAGUGAAAGGGUUCGGUUUUGAUGAAGUUGUAGGUGUGAGGAGGCCAGUCACUGGCCAAUCAAGAGCUGGCAGUGGAGUGAAAGGGUUCGGUUUUGAUGAAGUUGUAGGUGUGAGGAGGCCAGUCACUGGCCAAUCAAGAGCUGGCAGUGGAGUGAAAGGGUUCGGUUUUGAUGAAGUUGUAGGUGUGAGGAGGCCAGUCACUGGCCAAUCAAGAGCUGGCAGUGGAGUGAAAGGGUUCGGUUUUGAUGAAGUUGUAGGUGUGAGGAGGCCAGUCACUGGCCAAUCAAGAGCUGGCAGUGGAGUGAAAGGGUUCGGUUUUGAUGAAGUUGUAGGUGUGAGGAGGCCAGUCACUGGCCAAUCAAGAGCUGGCAGUGGAGUGAAAGGGUUCGGUUUUGAUGAAGUUGUAGGUGUGAGGAGGCCAGUCACUGGCCAAUCAAGAGCUGGCAGUGGAGUGAAAGGGUUCGGUUUUGAUGAAGUUGUAGGUGUGAGGAGGCCAGUCACUGGCCAAUCAAGAGCUGGCAGUGGAGUGAAAGGGUUCGGUUUUGAUGAAGUUGUAGGUGUGAGGAGGCCAGUCACUGGCCAAUCAAGAGCUGGCAGUGGAGUGAAAGGGUUCGGUUUUGAUGAAGUUGUAGGUGUGAGGAGGCCAGUCACUGGCCAAUCAAGAGCUGGCAGUGGAGUGAAAGGGUUCGGUUUUGAUGAAGUUGUAGGUGUGAGGCCAGUCACUGGCCAAUCAAGAGCUGGCAGUGGAGUGAAAGGGUUCGGUUUUGAUGAAGUUGUAGGUGUGAGGAGGCCAGUCACUGGCCAAUCAAGAGCUGGCAGUGGAGUGAAAGGGUUCGGUUUUGAUGAAGUUGUAGGUGUGAGGAGGCCAGUCACUGGCCAAUCAAGAGCUGGCAGUGGAGUGAAAGGGUUCGGUUUUGAUGAAGUUGUAGGUGUGAGGAGGCCAGUCACUGGCCAAUCAAGAGCUGGCAGUGGAGUGAAAGGGUUCGGUUUUGAUGAAGUUGUAGGUGUGAGGAGGCCAGUCACUGGCCAAUCAAGAGCUGGCAGUGGAGUGAAAGGGUUCGGUUUUGAUGAAGUUGUAGGUGUGAGGAGGCCAGUCACUGGCCAAUCAAGAGCUGGCAGUGGAGUGAAAGGGUUCGGUUUUGAUGAAGUUGUAGGUGUGAGGAGGCCAGUCACUGGCCAAUCAAGCAGUUCCAUGUGUUUGUCUCAAAUUCUGGAGAUUAUUGACGGUCUUUGA